rnacentral:rRNA from 1 species
UAGCAUAUCAAUAAGCGGAGGAAAAGAAACCAACAGGGAUUGCCCUAGUAACGGCGAGUGAAGCGGCAACAGCUCAAAUUUGAAAUCUGGCCUUCGGGUCCGAGUUGUAAUUUGUAGAGGAUGCUUUUGGUGCAGUGCCUUCCGAGUUCCUUGGAACAGGACGCCUUAGAGGGUGAGAGCCCCGUACGGUUGGACACUAAGCCUCUGUAAAGCUCCUUCGACGAGUCGAGUAGUUUGGGAAUGCUGCUCUAAAUGGGAGGUAAAUUUCUUCUAAAGCUAAAUACCGGCCAGAGACCGAUAGCGCACAAGUAGAGUGAUCGAAAGAUGAAAAGUACUUUGAAAAGAGGGUUAAAUAGCACGUGAAAUUGUUGAAAGGGAAGCGUUUAUGACCAGACCUUUGCCGGGCGGAUCAUCCGGUGUUCUUCACCGGUGCACUUCGCUCGGCUUAGGCCAGCAUCGAUUUCUGUAGGGGGACAAAGGCCAUGGGAACGUAGCUCUCUUCGGGGAGUGUUAUAGCCCUAGGUGUAAUACCCUUACGGGGAUCGAGGUUCGCGCUUCUGCAAGGAUGCUGGCGUAAUGGUCAUCAACGACCCGUCUUGAAACACGGACCAAGGAGUCGAACAUUUAUGCGAGUGUUUGGGUGUUAAACCCUCACGCGUAAUGAAAGUGAACGGAGGUGAGAGCCCUUUUUGGGUGCAUCAUCGACCGAUCCUGAUGUAUUCGGAAGGAUUUGAGUAAGAGCAUAACUGUUCGGACCCGAAAGAUGGUGAACUAUGCGUGGAUAGGGUGAAGCCAGAGGAAACUCUGGUGGAGGCUCGCAGCGGUUCUGACGUGCAAAUCGAUCGUCAAAUCUGCGCAUGGGGGCGAAAGACUUAUCGAACCAUCUAGUAGCUGGUUACCGCCGA